ensembl:lncRNA
GUGGAGCCUGCUGCAGGAUGAGGUCCCUCAUUCCUGCGGAAAAUUUUAUCAUAUUUGGGCUCUCAAAAUUGUCCUCAUAAAUUGCCUCCUUCAUACCUAAUUCUCGGAUAUAAUUUUGUAAGUCCUCCAUAGAGGACCACAGGCCGGUAUUUAAUGGUAUGUCCGUUUUAUUCGCCCAUGUCACACGGCAUGCGGCCAUUAACCAUGCAAUCAGUGAAUGAUUUUCUUCAUUGUGUUGCACAGCCGCAUAUAGUCUUUGCCUGAGGGCCGGGUGAGUAGUAAUUGAUGCCAGUUUUGAGAUUUCUGGCCCAUUCACCACAACGCUUUCUGCCCCCAUGUCAUAUAGUCUGAGUAACCAUGCUGGCACACUCUCUCGGUUUUUGUCUAAAGCAUUGUACUAAAUCCAUUAAUUCAGCUGCCGUGUAUGGGCGAGCUGUUACAUGUAGUGUGCUCUGGGCAGGGGGCCACUGGUCAGGGGGCAGCCCCGCUGGCCUGUCCUGCGUUUUUUUUGUUUUUUGAGUUACAACUGGUCGGAUCUCAAAGGGAUCAAGCUCUAGUGGAGCCUCAAGAUCUGACUUCUUAGUGCUUUCAUUUUCUGAGUCCAGUUCAUGUGGACUCUCUUGUAUAGGAUCCCCAGUAAUUUCUAGAGAGAUGUUUCGGAUUUUUUGUACCGGAAUUAUAGGGUUAGGUUUUUUCCCUCUCAAAAUUGCAACCUGUCUUUCCAGUUCUUCCACACGGUCACGUAAUAGUUGAUUUUCAUCAGUGAGAGCCCCUUCAGUUAUAUUUAGCCGGUUCAAGGCCAUCAGCAGCGGCCACGCCACCGUGGAGGCAGCUAACUGUCGUUCUCGUGUAGAAGGGGGCAGGAAGAGAAAAAGGGAGGCUGCAGCAUGUGUACUUCACAGGGCCCCUGCACUCCUCCAAUCAAAGAUCAUUAAUAUACCACAGUACCCCAUUUCAGCUGUGGCACAACAUGAGAGGGAUUUCUGAAGUCAUAGCAGAUUUGAAGAGAAGACAAAUCAUCUCUGGAAUGCACUCCUCAUAAAACUCACCUGUCUGGACAGUUCAGAAACCAGAUGGAAGGCGGCAGUUAACAAUUGACUACUGGUGCCUGAACACUAACACAGUCUUGCUAGGAGCCAGUGUCCCAGACAUUGCCAACGUAACAGCUUGUUUUGUGAGCAGCCACACAUCCAUGGAUGGCAGUUUUCAACAUAAAAGAUACGUUCUUUCCAGUUUCCUUGCAGGAAGAGGAUA